rnacentral:rRNA from 1 species
UACGUAGGGUGCAAGCGUUGUUCGGAAUUACUGGGCGUAAAGGGCGCGUAGGCGGGCUUGUAAGUUAGUUGUGAAAUCCCUGGGCUUAACCCGGGACGUGCAACUAAAACUGCAAGUCUUGAGUAUUGGAGAGGAUGGCAGAAUUCCAGGUGUAGAAGUGAAAUUCGUAGAUAUCUGGAAGAAUACCGGAGGCGAAGGCGGCUGUCUGGCCAAAUACUGACGCUAAGGCGCGAAAGCGUGGGGAUCAAACAGG